GCUUUUGUGGUGUAGUGGUCAGCACACACGACGCGUAAUCGAGAGGUCCGUGGUUCGAUUCCCGGCGAAGACU
rnacentral:tRNA from 1 species